rnacentral:rRNA from 1 species
GACGAACGCUGGCGGCGUGCUUAACACAUGCAAGUCGAACGGAAAGGCCCUGCUUUUGUGGGGUGCUCGAGUGGCGAACGGGUGAGUAACACGUGAGUAACCUGCCCUUGACUUUGGGAUAACUUCAGGUAACUGGGGCUAAUACAGGAUAGGAGCUCCUGCUGCAUGGUGGGGGUUGGAAAUUUUCGGCGGUUGGGGAUGGAAUCGCGGGUUAUCAGCUUGUUGGUGGGGUAGUGGCUUACCAAGGCUUUGACGGGUAGCCGGCCUGAGAGGGUGACCGGCCACAUUGGGACUGAGAUACGGCCCAGACGGCUACGGGAGACAGCAGUGGCGAAUAUUGCACAAUGGGCGGAAGCCUGAUGCAGCAACGCCGCGUGCGGGAUGACGGCCUUCGGGUUGUAAACCGCUUUCGCCUGUGACGAAGCGUGAGUGACGGUAAUGGGUAAAGAAGCACCGGCUAACUACGUG